rnacentral:rRNA from 1 species
GACGAACGCUGGCGGCGUGCUUAACACAUGCAAGUCGAACGGAAAGGCCCUGUUUAUGUGGGCUCCUCGGGUGGCGAACGGGUGAGUAACACGUGAGUAACCUGCCCUUGACCUUGGGGUAACUUAAGGCCACUGAGGCUCAUACCGGCUAGGAGCUCUUGCUGCUUGGUGGGCGUUGGAUAGUUUCGGCGGUUGGGGAUGGACUCGCGGCCUAUCAGCUUGAUCGUGGGGUAGUGGAAGACCAAGGCUUUGCCGGGUAGCAUGCCUGCGCGGAUCACCGGCCCCAUUGGGACGGAGAUGCGACACGGACUCGAACGGGAGGCAGCAGAGGGGAAUGUUACACAAUAGACGGAAGCCUGAUGCAGUAACGCCGCGUGGGGGAAGACGGCCUUGGGGUUGGGAACCACUGUCGUCUGUGACGAAGCGUGAAUGACGGUAAUGGGUAAAGAAGCACCGGCUAACUACGUG